GACGAACGCUGGCGGCGUGCUUAAUACAUGCAAGUCGAACGGAAAGGCCCUGCUUUUGUGGGAUGCUCGAGUGGCGAACGGGUGAGUAACACGUGAGUAACCUGCCCUUGACUUUGGGAUAACUUCAGGAAACUGGGGCUAAUACCGGAUAGGAGCUCCUGCUGCAUGGUGGGGGUUGGAAAGUUUCGGCGGUUGGGGAUGGACUCGCGGCUUAUCAGCUUGUUGGUGGGGUAGUGGCUUACCAAGGCUUUGACGGGUAGCCGGCCUGAGAGGGUGACCGGCCACAUUGGGACUGAGAUACGGCCCAGACUCCUACGGGAGGCAGCAGUGGGGAAUAUUGCACAAUGGGCGGAAGCCUGAUGCAGCAACGCCGCGUGCGGGAUGACGGCCUUCGGGUUGUAAACCGCUUUCGCCUGUGACGAAGCGUGAGUGACGGUAAUGGGUAAAGAAGCACCGGCUAACUACGUG
rnacentral:rRNA from 1 species